GAUGAACGCUGGCGGCGUGCCUAAUACAUGCAAGUCGAGCGGACGGACGCGAAGCUUGCGUCUCUGAUGUUAGCGGAGGACGGGUGAGUAACACGUGGAUCACCUCCCUAUAAGACUGGGAUAACUUCGGAAAACCGGAGCUUAUCCCGGAUGAUAUUUUGAACCGCAUGGUUCAAAAGUGAGAGACGGUCUUGCUGUCACGUAUAGAUGGAUCCGCGCUGCAUUAGCUAGUUGGUAAGGUAACGGCUUUCCAAGGCAACGAUGCGUAGCCGACCUGAGAGGGUGGUCGGCCACACUGGAAGGGAGACAGGGUCCAGACUCCUACGGGAGGGAGCAGUAGGGAAUCGGCCGCAAUGGGCGAAAGCCUGACGGAGCAGGGCGGCGUGAGUGAUGAAGGUCCUCGGAUCGGAAAACUCUGUUAUUAGGGAAGAACAUAUGUCGACGGAAACGUGGCGAGCGUGACGGUAACGAAUCAGAAAGCACCGGCUAACUACGUG
rnacentral:rRNA from 1 species